UUAGAAUUUCAACAUUCCGUUAUAAUCCCAAAAAUUGAACCACUUUUGAACAUGUCAACACAUUUAUUAUACUAUUUUUAGCAACUUACAUGCUUGACAAGUUAUAUCUAAAUUAAUUUUCGUCAGGUUUCGCUUAAGCAGCACAUAACUUGUUGUGCUCGCCACUCCAAACUGCAAUGACGCAUGAAGAUCAUUUAUUCACGAGAAAAAAAAACCAAACCGAAAAAAAAACCCGCCCGCAAAAGCUGUUUCAACUGUGCUGAAAAGUCUCCCACAUGUGGUAGACUCAUUUGCAGGCAGUGUAUGCGGUGGCAGAAGCAGCAGCAGCAGCAGAGCUUUAUGCUCGCGGUGCUCAACACCGCAAUGCACCUGCACGCUACGCUUCCGCUGAGCAACGCUUCCGAUCCGGCUGUAAAUGGUGUUCCAGUUAGAUGAGCAACGGCAUCGUCAUCGGCAUCGCCAUUCAUUGAAUAUGCCGGCAACAGCGACCGAGGCAGCGACCGAGGCAGCGACUGCGACUGCGACAGCGACAGCAUAAACAAUAGAGCACCGCGAAAAACGCGAACUACGCGACGUAGAGUCAAUGUUUAUCAUUGUCUCACUGGCCAACAACAGCAACAGCAGCAACAUCAGCAGCAGCAGCAGCAGUAACAACAAUGCGCCACAAUCGACCGUUGUCAUGGGAAUCAUACACCUAACGAAAAAUUUUGGAUUCAAAUGCCAGCAUAUUCAGUAUGCGUGAAAUUUUGAAUUUCAAAAACAAAUUUCCGAUUAAUUUCUUAAAUCACAAACCAGAAUAAACUAUAUACUUGAAAUUUGAAUACACUUCAAAUAUUCAAUUUAAAUUUUGUAGAAUUUGAAAUUUUUAUAUUAUGCAAAAACUUAACAAAGAUCAAGAAGAAAAUAA